GGCACACAUUCCCUAACUCGACUUGCUUUCAACCCUUGUGACCUCUGUCCCCUACUUCUUGCUACCUACAGUAGCUAUGCUGUGCAAGCGGAGAGGGACACAGCACGCUCUCUGUCCUCCUGUCAGUCAUUUGCAGGCGCCAUCUAUGAGCUCAGUGAUAACUACCCUCUAGCUUCAGUCAAAGUGCUGCUUUUGGUCUGAGGAGUGCUCCAGCUGGAGAAGAUGGCUCGGCCAUUAAGAGUGUGCACUGCCCUUGCAAGAAGGAGGACCUGAGUUCGGUUCCUAGCAGCCACAUCAGGCAGCUGGUGCCUGACUCCAGCUGCAGUGAAUAUGACACCUCUGGGCAACUGCACUCAUGUGCACAAACAGACACACAGACACACACAGUCAUAUUAAAAAUAAAUCUUAGAAAACAAGUA